rnacentral:rRNA from 1 species
UACGUAGGGUGCGAGCGUUGUCCGGAAUUAUUGGGCGUAAAGGGCUCGUAGGCGGUUUGUCGCGUCGGGAGUGAAAACCUCGGGCUUAACUCGGGGCUUGCUUUCGAUACGGGCAGACUAGAGGUAUGCAGGGGAGAACGGAAUUCCUGGUGUAGCGGUGAAAUGCGCAGAUAUCAGGAGGAACACCGGUGGCGAAGGCGGUUCUCUGGGCAUGAUCUGACGCUGAGGAGCGAAAGUGUGGGGAGCGAACAG